rnacentral:rRNA from 1 species
UACAGAGGAGCCAAGCGUUGUCCGGAUUGACUGGGCGUAAAGCGCACGCAGGCGGAUGCGCGCGUGGGGUGUGAAAUCUGGCCGCUUAACGGCCAGGCGCCAUCCCAUACGGCGCGUCUGGAGUGAUGCAGAGGUCGGUGGAAUUGCCGGGUGUAGUGGUGAAAUGCGUAGAGAUCGGCAGGAACACCCAGGGGGAAACCAGCCGACUGGGCAUGCCUACCCGAAC